rnacentral:rRNA from 1 species
GGGGCUAGCGCAGGCUACACAUGCAGUCGAACGGUAGCACAGACAGCUUGCUCUUGGGUGACGAGUGGCGGACGGGUGAGUAAUGUCAGGGAGACUGCCUGAUGGAGGGGGAUAACUACUGGAGACGGUAACUCAUACCGCACAAUGUCGCAAGACCAAAGAGGGGGACCUUCGGGGCUCUUGCCAUCAGAUGUGCCCAGAUGGGAUUAGCUAGUAGGGGGGGUAACGGCUCACCUAAGCGACCAUACCUAGCUGGACUGAGAGGAUGACCACCCACACUGUGACUGAGACACGGUCCACACACCUACGGGAGGCAGCAGUGGGGAAUAUUGCAGAAUGGGCGCAAGCCUGAUGCAUCCCUGCCGCGUGUAUGAAGAAGGCCUUCUGGUUGUAAAGUAC